UUCCGGUUGAUCCCGCCGGAGGUUACUGCUAUUGGUGUUCGACUAAGCCAUGCAAGUCAUAUGUUCCUCGUGAACAUGGCAUACUGCUCAGUAACACGUGGAUAACCUGCCCUUGGGUCUGGGAUAACCCCGGGAAACUGGGGAUAAUACCGGAUAACGCAUAUGUGCUGGAAUGCUUUAUGCGUAAAAUGGAUUCGUCCGCCCAAGGAUGGGUCUGCGGCCUAUCAGGUAGUAGUGGGUGUAAUGUACCUACUAGCCAACAACGGGUACGGGUUGUGAGAGCAAGAGCCCGGAGAUGGAUUCUGAGACAUGAAUCCAGGCCCUACGGGGCGCAGCAGGCGCGAAAACUUUACAAUGCGGGCAACCGUGAUAAGGGAACCUCGAGUGCCUGUAAGUGCAGGCUGUUCAGGUGCCUAAAACACACCUGAAGAAAGGGCCGGGCAAGACCGGUGCCAGCCGUCGCGGUAAUACCGGCGGCUCGAGUGGUGGCCGCUUUUAUUGGGCUUAAAGCGUUCGUAGCUGGGUUGUUAAGUCUCUUGGGAAAUCUGGCGGCUUAACCGUCAGGCGUCUAAGGGAUACUGGCAAUCUUGGAACCGGGAGAGGUGAGGGGUACUUCGGGGGUAGGAGUGAAAUCCUGUAAUCCUCGAGGGACCACCUGUGGCGAAGGCGCCUCACCAGAACGGCUUCGACAGUGAGGGACGAAAGCUGGGGGAGCAAACCGGAUUAGAUACCCGGGUAGUCCCAGCCGUAAACUAUGCGCGUUAGGUGUAUCGGUGACCACGAGUUACCGAGGUGCCGAAGGGAAACCGUGAAACGUGCCGCCUGGGAAGUACGGUCGCAAGGCUGAAACUUAAAGGAAUUGGCGGGGGAGCACAACAACGGGUGGAGCCUGCGGUUUAAUUGGACUCAACGCCGGACAACUCACCGGGGACGACAGCAAUAUGUAGGCCAGGCUGAAGACCUUGCCUGAAUCGCUGAGAGGAGGUGCAUGGCC
rnacentral:rRNA from 1 species